CCUACGGGCGGCAGCAGUAGGGAAUAUUGCUCAAUGGGGGAAACCCUGAAGCAGCAACGCAGCGUGGAGGAUGAAGGUUUUCGGAUUGUAAACUCCUUUUGUUAGAGAAGAUAAUGACGGUAUCUAACGAAUAAGCACCGGCUAACUCCGUGCCAGCAGCCGAGGUAAUACGGAGGGUGCAAGCGUUACUUGGAAUCACUGGGCGUAAAGGGCGCGUAGGCGGGAUAGCAAGUCAGAUGUGAAAUCCUAGGGCUUAACCAUAGAACUGCAUUUGAAACUGGUAUUCUAGAGUGUGGGAGUGGUAGGCGGAAUUCAUGGUGUAGGGGUGAAAUCCGUAGAGAUCAAGAAGAAUACUCAUUGCGAAGGC
rnacentral:rRNA from 1 species